rnacentral:rRNA from 1 species
GACCAGACUCCUACGGGAGGCAGCAGUGGGGAAUAUUGCACAAUGGGGGGAACCCUGAUGCAGCGACGCCGCGUGGGUGAAGGAGCGUUUCGGCGCGUAAAGCCCUAUCGGCAGGGAAGAAGGAGGACGGUACCUGACUAAGAAGCCCCGGCUAACUACGUGCCAGCAGCCGCGGGAAUACGUAGGGGGCAAGCGUUAUCCGGAUUUACUGGGUGUAAAGGGAGCGUAGACGGCGACGCAAGUCUGGAGUGAAAGCCCGGGGCCCAACCCCGGGACUGCUCUGGAAACUGCGUCGCUGGAGUACGGGAGGGGCAGGCGGAAUUCCUGGUGUAGCGGUGAAAUGCGUAGAUAUCAGGAGGAACACCGGCGGCGAAGGCGGCCUGCUGGACCGCGACUGACGUUGAGGCUCGAAAGCGUGGGGAGCGAACAGGAUUAGAUACCCUAGUAA